CAUCUAAAAUUCAUGUGCCUAGAAACAAAAAAAGAGAGUGGCAGGCGACAUGUAAAAGAAAGGUGAACUUGAUUAUUCACAUUGUUGCUUCUACUUGUAGAUUUAUGUUUUGAUUCACAAAUCAGUUUCCACCAGCUGAAUAUUAUCUUUUAAGCAUUUGUCCACUUCAUUACAAAUUGGCCUGAACAAAUUAUUUUCCAUAACAUUUCUUGGAUUGAUUGAUUUGGAUUAGGAUUUUU
rnacentral:lncRNA from 1 species